rnacentral:rRNA from 1 species
UACGAAGGGGGCUAGCGUUGCUCGGAAUUACUGGGCGUAAAGCGUGCGCAGGCGGUUAUGCAAGACAGAUGGGAAAUCCCCGGGCUCAACCUGGGAACUGCAUUUGUGACUGCAUGGCUAGAGUACGGUAGAGGGGGAUGGAAUUCCGCGUGUAGCAGUGAAAUGCGUAGAUAUGCGGAGGAACACCGAUGGCGAAGGCAAUCCCCUGGACCUGUACUGACGCUCAUGCACGAAAGCGUGGGGAGCAAACAGG